UGGUGGGAGGCUUUUGGUUUCUUUUUUUUUAAAAAGAACUGAAUGAAAAGUUGCUGAGAUUCGUUGCUUUCCCUUCUUGGCGUGUCAGUAUCACCCCAACACUCCUACAGGGACAAGUUUUCCUGCUGCCGUACUGAGGGGUUGGAUUAAAGAACGAUAUUAAGCUUUAGCAAAAUUGGGCCGCGGGCCAGCGCCUCUUAUCUGCUGCAGUGUUUCGUAUGAAAAAUUGCUUGCUUCCAAAUAUCCCAGUCUCGGAGACUUGGACUUGAAUAUUAACACCGCUCACUCCCAAUAGACACUGCAGUCUGCAGCAGGAGUCCUGUGCCUGGGUUUGUAGAGGGAAAUGGCUUGCGACUGAAAUCAAAAGCCCAGGAAGGGCCACCGCCACCACUGCUACAAGAGGCUACUGGUUGUAAUCGUAAGAUCGUAUGGCCCUUCCCUUCCUCUGGGUUAUCACCCCAGAGAAAAUAGUUUGUUCUUUAUCUGCUCUGUCAAAUCUAUCUCAUCAUCAUCAGACACCUUGUUUCGUUCAUCACUUAUGCAUCUAAACUCGAGGGAAAACAAACAAGUGUGGACUGCAAGACUUCUCAAUUUUAUUGUAACAAUUUGGCCCAGGUAUUGUUCUGACAGUCAAGCACGGGAGGCUUGAAGAUAAUUCUGACUGGAGCAGGGACAAUUGUGUGCUAGCUACCUUAGUUGCCUUGUUCUCAUCUGGUUGUGGGGCCAGGGGGGAAUUUAAAAAAAAAUCUACUGACUCGACUGGCAGGAAAGCUUUCAUAGCAGAAAUGAAAGCAGAAAGUACAGGAGAAACUCACCAAGUCUGGUAGCAUCUAUGCAGACAGAAAAAUAGAGUUAAUGUUUCAAGUCUACCUCGUAAUAGAAUCUGCACCCUCUCUGUAGCUGUUACACCAUAUUCUGCGUUCUGUUCUAUUACCCUGAUGUACUUGUGCAAGGUAUGAUUUGUCUGGUUUGCACACAACAGUACUUUUCACUGUAUCUCAGGACAUGUGACAAUAAUAAAAUCAA